UACAGAGGGGGCAAGCGUUGUUCGGAAUUACUGGGCGUAAAGGGCGCGUAGGCGGCCUGUUAAGUCGAACGUGAAAACCCAGGGCUCAACCCUGGGCCUGCAUUCGAUACGGGCAGACUAGAGUACGGCAGGGGAGACUGGAAUUCCUGGUGUAGCGGUGAAAUGCGCAGAUAUCAGGAGGAACACCGGUGGCGAAGGCGGGUCUCUGGGCCGAAACUGACGCUGAGGAGCGAAAGCGUGGGGAGCGAACAGG
rnacentral:rRNA from 1 species